rnacentral:lncRNA from 1 species
GGCCUCCUCUCCAUGCUUCCUGAACAGUCUGUGGAACUGUACUAGAUUCUGAGGUCUGAGACUAAAGUCAUUCCAUCAUGAGUUCCAAACUGGACUUGAGAGGGGAAGAAUCAUUUCCUUUGAGAUUGACCAAUACCAGGAGUUUCACUAAAGAAGGCAAUGAAAGACCCACAGCCUUGGACAUAAUUGAUUUCCUGUGAUAUCUGUGUGGGCCCAGGCAUGCUGCUCACCUGGGUCUUUCCCCUCUUUCACUCCUUUGGAACUGCCCCACCACUAACCACUUUCCUACUCUCUCCUUCCCCACCCCAGUAUCUCCUUGCCUCAAGAGUUUCCUGUUACUAGCAAUAAUUUAGUUCACUCCCAGGGAACUACUAUUUCUGGUUCUCAGUUACUAACCUUUCCAUUCAGUUCUUUCCAUUCCAUUUUUACCAGAAUUAACGUUUCCUCAUCUUUCCCAGUGAAUGUAAAAGGUACCUUCUGGGAAGCAUUUUACCGGAACUGAUGACUGCUAUGCUUGACAGCAGCUUCAACAGCCUCGGAUACAACUCAUCAUGAAUUAGCUCUGGCAUGACUGAGUUAGAAUACUGUUCUGUUUCCUAUCUCUACAUGUAGGAAAAAUUUAAAGUGGCAUUUCUAUGCUUUGGUCUUUUCUCAUAAAUGACUUAGGGGAAAACACUUAAUGAGGAUGAGUAACUAAAAUUCAAUGAAUACUAAAAGCUUUAUAAGAAUCAUCUAAUUGAAACUUUACAUAAUUUCCUUAUUAUGUAUUAACAUUGAACGGGCAUUAUGCAUUCCAUUUCUAGAAAAGAAGUCUUUCCUUAAUAAAUUACAAGUGCAAACAUGAA